rnacentral:lncRNA from 1 species
CGUUGUGGAUUUCAUCUACGACGGUCUGAAUUGAUGGGUUAGCUUAAUUUGGGGUUCGGAGUUUGGUGAAUUUGAGGAAGUCGUGAACUCAAUUAGAGAUGGAACCAUGGUGAAACUGGCGGAACCAUCACCGCCCUUUCGGCCUACAUGGAGCCCGGCGAUGCCAUCAUCGAGGGCAAUGAGUGGUACGAGAGCACCGAGCGUCGCAUCCACGAGGCCUCCGCCAAGGGCCUCCUCUAACUCGGCAUGGGAGUCUCCGGCGGCGACGAGGGCGCCCGCCACGGCCCCAGUUUCAUGCCCCGCGGGUUUCACCAGGCGUAUUCCAACAGAUGUGUUGAAGAACAUCGGCGGACUUGAGUGGAUUGAAGGAGGAGAGGGAGAGCGCCGAGGAGUAGACUAUCCAGGCUAUAGAUUGCGCUCUUCUCG